UACGUAGGCAGCAAGCGUUGUUCGGAGUUACUGGGCGUAAAGGGUGCGUAGGCGGCUUUUUAAGUUUGGUGUGAAAUCUCCCGGCUCAACUGGGAGGGUGCGCCGAAUACUGAGAGCUCGAGUCCGGGAGAGGUGAGUGGAAUUCCUAGUGUAGAGGUGAAAUUCGUAGAUAUUAGGAAGAACACCAGUGGCGAAGGCGGCUCACUGGCCCGGUACUGACGCUGAGGCGCGAAAGCGUGGGGAGCAAACAGG
rnacentral:rRNA from 1 species